CAGUAGCCGCGGUAAAACGUAGGGUGCAAGCGUUAAUCGGAAUUACUGGGCGUAAAGCGUGCGCAGGCGGUUAUAUAAGACAGAUGUGAAAUCCCCGGGCUCAACCUGGGAACUGCAUUUGUGACUGUAUAGCUAGAGUACGGCAGAGGGGGAUGGAAUUCCGCGUGUAGCAGUGAAAUGCGUAGAUAUGCGGAGGAACACCGAUGGCGAAGGCAAUCCCCUGGGCCUGUACUGACGCUCAUGCACGAAAGCGUGGGGAGCAAACAGGAUUAGAGACCCGUGUAGUCCCUGUCUCUUAUAC
rnacentral:rRNA from 1 species